rnacentral:rRNA from 1 species
AUUGAACGCUGGCGGCAGGCCUAACACAUGCAAGUCGAACGAGUGGCGGACGGGUGAGUAAUGUCUGGGAAACUGCCUGAUGGAGGGGGAUCACUACUGGAAACGGUAGCUAAAACCGCCUUCCCUCGGAUGUGCCCAGAGGGGAUUAGGUGGUUGGUGGGGUAACGGCUCACCAAGGGGACGAUCCCUAGCGGGUCUGAGAGGAUGACCAGCAACACUGGAACUGAGACACGGUCCAGACUCCUACGGGAGGCAGCAGUGGGGAAUAUUGGACAAUGGGCGAAAGCCUGAUGCAGCCAUGCCGCGUGUAUGAAGAAGGCCUUCGGUUUGUAAAGUACUUUCAGCGGGGAGGCGUUACCCGCAGAAGAAGCACCGGCUAACUCCGUGCCAGCCGCCGCGGUAAUAC